GGACUACUCGGGUUUCUAAUCCUGUUUGCUCCCCACGCUUUCGCGCCUCAGCGUCAGUAUCUGUCCAGGUAGCCGCCUUCGCCACUGGUAUUCCUUCCGAUCUCUACGCAUUUCACCGCUACACCGGAAAUUCUACUACCCUCUACAGUACUCCAGCUAUACAGUCAUCGAUGCAGUUCCUAGGUUAAGCCCAGGGAUUUCACAUCAAUCUUAUAUAACCGCCUACGCGCCCUUUACGCCCAGUAACUCCGAUUAACGCUCGCACCCUCUGUAUUACCGCGGCUGCUGGCAC
rnacentral:rRNA from 1 species